UACGUAGGGAGCAAGCGUUGCCCGGAAUUACUGGGCGUAAAGAGCUCGUAGGCGGGGGCGUGCGUCCGAGAAGAAAUCUCAAGGCUCAACCUUGGGGCUAUCUCGGAUACGGCGCUUCUUGAGGGUGAGAGAGGAAAGCGGAAUUCCAGGUGUAGCGGUGAAAUGCGUAGAUAUCUGGAGGAACACCAGCGGCGAAGGCGGCUUUCUGGCUCAUUCCUGACGCUGAGGAGCGAAAGCGUGGGUAGCGAAC
rnacentral:rRNA from 1 species